AGUGUCUUAUGUCUCCAGAGACUCGCACGUGUCCUCUCCCUCAAACAUGCGGACUGCUACUGACAAGUGAAGACGGUCCACACGACAGCAUACAGUAAACUCUCCGUUAAGCAGGUGGAGGGGAUCCGCGGUGAUAUUGGUGCAGGGCAGCAUAUUCAAGCAUCCUUGUCGAUUGUGAUAUUAUAGUGAUAUCUUGGCCGAGGAGAUGAGAUAUGCUCGCGAUAACAAUCACAUAAAAGACACCGGUGGCACAGACCAGACCCGAAGAGCCACUAUAGCAACAUCUCUCAAAGCUUGAAAGGAUAUUUAUAAAGAUGGAAUCAGCUGUGGCCUCUGCUGCUGGCAUCCUUGAACAUUGUGUUGUUGCCACAAUUAAAGCGAUGCAGGAAGGACAACUCCAUUGUUUGAAGAAAAAAAAGAACACAAAAAUCCUUAUUGGAACGUAGGAGUGGUUUUAAUUUGGCUUUUCCAUUGGAUGCAGAGUCCUCGUUGCUCCUGAGCAUGCGCGACCACGUGCGUCCCCAUUUCACACCCGCGAAUCAACAGUGUUUUAAAAUGUGUCGGCAUUUAUUGGACUUCUUUAUGCUGAUUAAAUUGCACACUCCAUGGCAGCCCCAGCCAUAAAAUAUAUCAG
ensembl:lncRNA